ACUGAGACACGGCCCAGACUCCUACGGGAGGCAGCAGUGGGGAAUAUUGCACAAUGGGCGAAAGCCUGAUGCAGCGACGCCACGUGAGGGAUGACGGCCUUCGGGUUGUAAACCUCUUUCAGCAGGGAAGAAGCGAAAGUGACGGUACCUGCAGAAGAAGCGCCGGCUAACUACGUGCCAGCAGCCGCGGUAAUACGUAGGGCGCAAGCGUUGUCCGGAAUUAUUGGGCGUAAAGAGCUCGUAGGCGGUCUGUCGCGUCUGGUGUGAAAUCCCAUGGCUCAACUGUGGGCUUGCAUCGGGUACGGGCAGACUAGAGUGCUGUAGGGGAGACUGGAAUUCCUGGUGUAGCGGUGGAAUGCGCAGAUAUCAGGAGGAACACCGAUGGCGAAGGCAGGUCUCUGGGCAGUUACUGACGCUGAGGAGCGAAAGCAUGGGGAGCGAACAGGAUUAGAUACCCUGGUAGUCCAUGCCGUAAACGUUGGGCACUAGGUGUGGGGCGGGUUCCACUCGUUCUGUGCCGCAGCUAACGCAUUAAGUGCCCCGCCUGGGGAGUACGGCCGCAAGGCUAAAACUCAAAGGAAUUGACGGGGGCCCGCACAAGCGGCGGAGCAUGCGGAUUAAUUCGAUGCAACGCGAAGAACCUUACCAAGGCUUGACAUGUACGAGAACGCGUUAGAGAUAACGAACUCUUUGGACACUCGUACACAGGUGGUGCAUGGUUGUCGUCAGCUCGUGUCGUGAGAUGUUGGGUUAAGUCCCGCAACGAGCGCAACCCCUAUCCUAUGUUGCCAGCGGGUCAUGCCGGGGACUCAUGGGAGACUGCCGGGGUCAACUCGGAGGAAGGUGGGGAUGACGUCAAAUCAUCAUGCCCCUUAUGUCUUGGGCUUCACGCAUGCUACAAUGGCCGGUACAGAGGGCUGCGAUACCGUGAGGUGGAGCGAAUCCCAAAAAGCCGGUCUCAGUUCGGAUCGGGGUCUGCAACUCGACCCCGUGAAGUCGGAGUCGCUAGUAAUCGCAGAUCAGCAACGCUGCGGUGAAUACGUUCCCGGGCCUUGUACACACCGCCCGUCAAGUCACGAAAGUUGGUAACACCCG
rnacentral:rRNA from 1 species